CAUUAAGAAGCUAGAAUAGCAUUAACCUUUUAAGUUAACCAUCGAGAGUAUUUACCCUCUCCUUAAUGA
rnacentral:tRNA from 1 species